AACUGCGAGUGAAGCGGGAAAAGCUCAAAUUUAAAAUCUGGCGGUCUUUGGCCGUUCCGAGUUGUAAUUUAGAGAAGCGUCUUCCGCGUCGGACCGUGCACAAGUCUCCUGGAAUGGAGCGUCAUAGAGGGUGAGAAUCCCGUCUUUGGCACGGACCCCCCCGAUGCUUUUGUGAUGCGCUCUCAAAGAGUCGAGUUGUUUGGGAAUGCAGCUCAAAAUGGGUGGUGAACUCCAUCUAAAGCUAAAUAUUGGCGAGAGACCGAUAGCGAACAAGUACCGUGAGGGAAAGAUGAAAAGCACUUUGGAAAGAGAGUGAAACAGUACGUGAAAUUGUUGAAAGGGAAACGCUUGAAGUCAGUCGCAUCGAUCGAGACUCAGCCUUGCCUCGGCUUGGUGUACUUCUCGACCGAUGGGCCAGCAUCAAUUUUGCCUCUCGGAUAAUGGCAAGGGAAAGGUGGCACCCUUACGGGUGUGUUAUAGUCUCCUGUCGCAUGCGAGGGGUGGGAUUGAGGAACUCAGCACGCGCCUCUCAGGUGUCGGGGCUUCGGCCC
rnacentral:rRNA from 1 species